UGAUAAAUAAUAAUUGAAUGGCCGCGGUAUCUUGACCGUGCAAAGGUAGCAUAAUCGUUAGUUUUUUAAUUGGAAUCUUGUAUGAAUGGUUGGACAAAAGAAAAUCUGUCUUUAUAUUAUUCAUUGAAUUUAACUUUUAAGUGAAAAGGCUUAAAUGUAUUUAAGGGACGAUAAGACCCUAUAAAGCUUAAUAUUAAAAUUUUAUUUAGUUGAAUUUUACAUGAUAAAAACUUAGUAAUUAAAUUUAUUUUAUUGGGGCGAUAAAAGUAAAAUGACUAUUAACUGCUUAAUUUUCAAUACAUAAUAAUUGAGUGAAUUUUUAAAUGAUCCUAGUUAAAGAUUAAAAGUUUAAGUUACUUUAGGGAUAACAGCGUUAUUUUUUUUAAGAGUACUUAUCGAAAAAAAAGUUUGCGACCUCGAUGUUGAAUUAAAAUAUCUUUAUAAUUGCAGCAGUUAUAAAAGUAGGUCUGUUCGACCUUUAAAAUUUUA
rnacentral:rRNA from 1 species